AACCAACAUACAUGUAUCUAUGCCAUCUCACAGCUCUCACACGCUCAUUCUCUAUUUCAUACCACUCCAAAAAGAUUUAACAGUUCGAAAAGGAAGGACCUUGAUUUGAUUUGAAGGAAGGACCUUGAUUUGACUCAAGGGUCGUUUCCUGAACUUGACGUGGCUUUGGAACGACUGCGAAACACAGGGAAAGAGAGUGGGGUGGUGAAAAGGGGCGAAACAGAGAGAGUGGAAACAGUCCUGUGAAAGAGGACAAGGAUAUCAAACACCUCCCGUGUGAGUGUGUUCUAACUGUAACCCAUAGGAGAGGUGGCUUUGUUCUAUCCAGCCUAUUCACAGAUCUGUCAGUGUUAAUGAAAGAAAGGAGACGAGAGAAGGAAAGUAUUCCAAAGUAUUUGGGACACAUCCUCUACUAUGCCCAUGCCAUUCUGCCAUGUAAUUAAUACAGUGUAG
ensembl:lncRNA